rnacentral:tRNA from 1 species
GUUUAAUUAGCUCAGUAGGGAGAGCACGGGACUACGGAUCCCGGGGCCAUAGGUUCGAUUCCUAUAUUAAACG